UACAACCAUAUCAUAUUGAAACAUUGGUUCCCGUAUGUUUACUGGAGUUAAGCAAUGUCAAGCCUGGUCAGUACCUAGAUGGGUGACCACUUCGGAACACCAGGUGCUGUAAG